rnacentral:rRNA from 1 species
AACGAACGCUGGCGGCAGGCUUAACACAUGCAAGUCGAGCGCCCCGCAAGGGGCGCGGCAGACUGGUGAGUAACGCGUGGGAACGUACCUGUUGGUUCGGAACAACUCCGGGAAACUGGAGCUAAGACCGGAUAAGCCCUAACGGGGAAAGAUUUAUCGCCGAAAGAUCGGUCGGCGUCUGAUUAGCUGGAUGGUGAGGUAACGGCGCAACAAGGCGACGAUCCGUAGCUGGUGUGAGUGGAUGAUCAGCCACACUGGGACUGGGACACGGCCCAGACUCCUACGGGAGGCAGCAGUGGGGAAUAUUGAACAAUGGGCGCAAGCCUGAUCCAGCCAUGCCGCGUGAGUGAUGAAGGCCUUAGGGUUGUAAAGCUCUUUUGUACGGGAAGAUAAUGACGGUACCGGAAGAAUAAGCCCCGGCUAACUUCGUG